GCCAGCGGCCAAGUCAAGACUCCUUGAAUGCUCAGGGAAGGUGUGACUUGCAGAGGAGUUGAUUCCUUCUUAUGUACAUUUACUGGAGAAGUUUACAGCAGGAGACUGGGGUCUGAGACACACGCAUCUUUGGUGUGCCCCAAAGAAUAAAGCCCUCAAAGGAUGUGAAGCCUGAACUCACUUCAAAUGCUGGAAAGGCCCUUUCCUUAGCUGAGCUGUGGAGGAACCAGGACUCCUGUGGCACUGCCCUAACGAGGAGGCAGUGCUGCCAGAUUCAGGAAAAAUAUUUGAAGAAUCACAUAGUCAAAAGCAAAAGGUCUGCAAGACAGCUUUGAUUCAGCUGAUUUCAGCCAGGCUCACCCCGACUUUGCAGGGCGCUG
rnacentral:lncRNA from 1 species